AAUCGGCUUGCCUCCGACCAGUUAGGCUUCCCAGGCCGAUGACCGUGCCAUUGCAACCGUUCUGCCGUUGGGAAGUCCUCAAGACCAAGAGACUCACAUUCUCUGCAGUGCACAUCAAAAGAACACGCGAUAGACAACGGAAAAAAAUAUAUGGGUAGAAAUUUUCAAUGCCUUGGCCCACAUGGAUCCACUAGACACCCAAAGAAAAAGGUAUGCCAUUCUUUCACUAGCAGUAGUAGGUUGGAUGUUAAAGGCUAUACAUGGGACAUGGACUUGUGAUAUACUUCUAAGCUGAAAUGUAUACUAUUGUCAUAUUAUGUUAUUUGUGUAUACCUGUA